rnacentral:rRNA from 1 species
CCUACGGGUGGCUGCAGUGGGGAAUAUUGGACAAUGGGGGAAACCCUGAUCCAGCGACGCCGCGUGAGUGAAGAAGUAUUUCGGUGUGUAAAGCUCUAUCAGCAGGGAAGAAAGAAAUGACGGUAGCUGACUAAGAAGCCCCGGCUAACUACGUGCCAGCAGCCGCGGUAAUACGGAGGGGGCAAGCGUUAUCCGGAUUUACGGGGUGUAAAGGGUGCGUAGACGGCGAUGCAAGCCUGAAGUGAAAGGCCGGGGCCCAACCCCCGGACUGCUUUGGAAACUGUGUGGCUGGAGUGCAGGAGAGGCAAGUGGAAUUCCUGGUGUAGCGGUGAAAUGCGUAGAUAUCAGGAGGAACACCAGUGGCGAAGGCGGCCUACUGGACUGUAACUGACGUUGAGGCUCGAAAGCGUGGGGAGCAAACAGGAUUAGAUACCCUGGUAGUC